GACGAACGCUGGCGGCGUGCUUAACACAUGCAAGUCGAACGGAAAGGCCCUGCGUUUGUGGGGUGCUCGAGUGGCGAACGGGUGAGUAACACGCGAGUAACCUGCCCUUGUCUUUGGGAUAACUUCAGGAAACUGGGGCUAAUACCGGAUAGGAGCUCCUGCUGCAUGGGGGGGGUUGGAAAGUUUCGGCGGUUGGGGCUGGACUCGCGGCUUAUCAGCUUGUUGGGGGGGUAGUGGCUUACCAAGGCUUUGACGGGUAGCCGGCCUGGGAGGGUGACCGGCCACAUUGGGACUGAGAUACGGCCCAGACUCCUACGGGAGGCAGCAGUGGGGAAUAUUGCACAAUGGGCGGAAGCCUGAUGCAGCAACGCCGCGUGCGGGAUGACGGCCUUCGGGUUGUAAACCGCUUUCGCCUGUGACGAAGCGUGAGUGACGGUACUGGGUCAAGAAGCACCGGCUAACUACGUG
rnacentral:rRNA from 1 species